AUCACUGUACAUGGCACAGGAAAGAACGAGAGGUCAUUCGAACGAACUCUACAAAAGCGAUGAAACAAAAGAAGUUUUUUACUUGAGGAGCGUCUCGAUGAACAUGUUCUGCUGCAAGCGCCGCCACCGCCGCAUUGAGCUGCUGCUCUCGCGCCGCCGCCGCCUCUCUGGACGACUUCAUCGCUUCUCUCUCGGUGAGCACUAUCCUGGCCAGCGGAGCUAGAAGAAACUCGUUGAGACGAUUUAUCCGGGCAUGAACGUCGCCAUCUCUGUUCUCGUUCGCAAGAACCGCGAUAUCCUGGACGAGAUUUGUUCCGCGAGCGCUUGAGAGCCGCAUUCCACUGGCGGGGAUACGUGCUCAUCACCUGGGAGAGAAGAUAGAGCUCGUUGAUGGACAUGUCCGCUAUGGAAGAUCUCUCAAUCCACCUGGUUUGCAAAGGUUCUUCCAUCCAUCUCGCGAAGCUAGCUCGAUCACA